UUUUUUUUUUUUUUCUUUCCGUCGCUUUAAUAAAGGAUAAUUCAAAGUUUAUUUUUGCCCCAAAAUGGUCCACAGGCUAGAAAUUUAGUAGUUGUAUAUACCCAACAAUUAAUCGUUGUAUUGUAGGUGCACCCUCGUUUUAAUUGAAAAGUAAACAAGAAUAAAUGUUGGUUGAAAAGUUUCUUUCUACUCAAUGCCAAAAUGACAUGAUACGUAUUAUUGAAUUUUCAAUUUCAGCAAAGUUUCAAUAUCUAUAAGCCAAAUUGCAAAAUCAACCCAUCAUCCCUAGAUUUCUAACGAAUAAAAUAAAUGGUUGACCAUAUUGAAAACAACAAACGAGUCUAGAGAAUUUGGACAAGUUCCAUUAAGAGACGGUAAUUUCAAAAUUGACCAUACACGCAAAUUGAAAUAUAUAUAUAUCAAAGAGCAUUCAUUGAUGUCACUUGUUCAAUUCUAAACUGCUAGCCUAGAAUCGAAUUAACAUAUUUAGUAUAAUAAUGCCUGACCAUUUUGAUGCUUCACUAAUUACAAUACACUUUCAUUAAUCACUCAUUCAUUACAUUUUCUUUACGAACCUCGACUUAAGGAGCGAACUUGUUUGAAAGAAGAAAAUCAAACGAGUAACAUAAUUAUGUGGAUAUAUAUUUAUAUUUAUAUAUAUACACGCGUGCGCGCACACACACACACAAACGAAGUUCGAAAAACAAUUUAUGAGAAGCAUGAAAGUUGAUAGACCUUGUUAGAAGAUGACAAUUCAGCGAGCCAUUUCGAAUUGCUCAUUACUUUUGAGCUGUAUAACAUAAUAAUUAUCAAAUAAUGGCUUCCGAUCGAUUUUUAUAAAACUUUUCUCUAACAUGUACUGAUGUACAGAAGUGGGUUUCCAUCUUUGGUAGAACAAAGAAAUAAAUACUUGAAUAAAGUAAAAAUUCAGGUCAAAAAACAAAAAUUCAUUAAGGCUGUUGACGGAAAAGGGCUAAAGUAGAAAGAAAUAGUUGGAAAGUGUAAAGUCAAAAUUAAUGAAACAUGCACGAAUAAUUUAAAACACGAGGAGUAAAAGCAAAGCAAGUAAAAGUUUGCAUGAUUCAAGAUUUUCAACUGUGUGCUGCAGCACGAGCAAUCAAUGAAACGAAAACAAAAAAAAGAACAAAAACAAAAACAAAAGUUUAUUGCAUGCAUGUAAGUAGUAAAUGGCUUAAUUACAAAAAAAAAAUAAUAAUAAUACAUGAAUGAUGAAUGAAUGAAUGAAUAUACCAUGCAUCCAGCUCUGCUGUGGGCCCCAUGCGUUACAACUUUUUCAUGCAAAAGUUCUCGAGCUACUCAAAACACUGGCAAAAUUUAUGAAACUAUUUUUAUUUUUCUUUGUUUUCUGCCUUUUGGGUUUUUGUUUUUAUAGUUAUGGGUGAAAACUAGGGUUUGUCAAAAACAGCGUCACCCCAACAAGUGACUUUAUUAUGAAGCAGAAUUAGCAGAAGGCCAGCAGAGAUCAGAGGGCCGGCAGGGUCUCGAGGUGUCAACAUCAGGGCAACAAGAUAAUGACACGUGUAAAGAACGUGGACCGAGAAUGAAUGACUGAAUGAUAGUGUAAUGAUGAAUAAAUAAUUUUUUGACAUUCUUAAGGACUAUUUGUGUGGUUGCAGAAGCUACAGUCUGAUGAUAUAUACUGAUGAGAGAAGCCAGAAGCAGCAGGAAAGCAGAAGCAGAAAAAGCAGCAAGCAAAAAAAUAUAUUGAAAAAAGAAAAAAAAAAAAAAAGCAGAAGCAGUACGGCUCAUCUUCCCUAUAAUCUAUAUGAAUUUGUGGAGGGUCUUUGAGUAGCUCAAGGCUUUUGGCUUUAUGGUCAGUCAGCGUCUAUAGCGUCUCCCCGUGCUAAUGCUACACUUCACUUCUUGUACCCAUUCUCCUCCAUUUUACAUCAAUUUUAAUUACUCAGCUCCACAUAUGGCAAAAUAACAUAUGCACCCGCUGAAUUUAGAGGAAUCGACAAACAUACUAGUAUUAAAUCGGAAACACCCAACUUGUUAACCCUCAUUCCCUAUGUCUUUUAUUUCAUGUUUGUUCACAUGUUCAUUUUUUUUUUUUUUUAGUGAAAGAAAAUGAUUGAUUAAUAUUUAAAAAUUCUAGUCUUUAAAUUGAUGAAACAAUUUAAUUGGUUUUGCCUGAUUCGUGACGCCGAUGAAGGUGUAGCGAACUUGUGAUGAUGACAAUUCUUCAUCAUUAAGUAUUCAGAUUGAAAAAUUUAGACUCAGCGUAACGCAACAUGAAGCAUAAAUGGACCUACCGUCUAAUAAAUUGUUGCCUUACAAGGUACAGGUUGCACAUUGUAGAAUUUAUAUAUACAUAUACACGAGUUUGACGUUGAACAAUACAGGAAAAGUAAGAGAAGGAAACAAUGUGCUGUUUAAUUUGGAAGAGAAGGGCCUUGAACGUUUAAUUAUGAAUAAAAUAUAUGGGCAAAUUAAAAGCAUUUGAUGAUGGGGUCGUGAAGUUUGAAAAUUUGUGUUCAUGCUACUGUGAUUGUGGGGGAUAAUAAGAACACUUUACAAUUCAAAAGUGAUGUCGCUUUAGUACAAGAAAAGUCAAGGUAGUAAAUAUUGGGUGCUUUUCAUCUAUGGUUUUACCUUUUUUAUAAGUAGAGAUUUAAAUAUUUUUCAAUUAAUUUUUUUUCUGUUAUUUCUUUUUCAUUGAACUAGAGAAAAUUGCAUAACAAUGGAAUUAAUUUAGUUUAUUAAUGAAUUUUCAUUUUUUUCGGUUGAGUUGUAUCCUACAUUAGUUUAGUAAAAGGGAGCUACUUGAGUCUACUUAAAGAUUUUAGGCCUAGCCCCACCCUCACCCCUCUACCCCCGCCGGCCGCCACCACACCUCCUCCCAACCUAAUAGAAGUGGUAUUAGAGAUAGACUUUAGUAGUUGAAAUAUUAUAAUGGAACAACUUAGGUGUGUCGAACAAAAAGAUUUAAGGUCUGGUAUUGGGUUCAUUUGGGGGGAGUGUUUCUAGAAAUCUAACUCAAAAGACUAAUACAUUGAGUAGAGAGACAUAUCCUCUUUAUAACUUUAGGUAAUUUCCUUUUACUAGCCAUGCGGACACAAUCCAGAACUCACCAAACAAUUCCCAACCCCCCCCCNNNNNNNNNNNNNNNNNNNNNNNNNNNNNNNNNNUAAAUAUGAUUUUAAAUGAUCUAUGAUCUGGGUGGGAAUUGAAUCUACUUUUGGUUUAUUUCAAAAGACUCAAGAACAAUAAUUGACAAGACUUCUGCCGUUCUACGGCUCUAAGUAAGGCAAUAAGCUACUAAGGAUGGAAUUAAAAGCGAAUUGAUCUUACCAAUAUCCACUUUACAAGAAAUAAAAUCAGACAAACUUUUAAUUUUUCUGCCUUUUUGAGAUUUCAAUGCAACAAAGCUAGGUUCAAUUCCCUCAUUGAUUGACAACAAUAUCAAGGCACUGAUUGAUUGGGCAUAUCUCAAGAACAAUGGAAAUUAAUGCAAAGUUGUUGAGGUGAUUAAUUAAUAAUUAGGAGCACUAUUGGACAUCUCUCGUUCUCUCUUAUUAUCUUGCUGGUGAAAACUCUUUUUGAAUAUAAAAUUUUGAUCGAUUGAUUAAUUGGGCCAUAUUGGAAAGCACUAAGUACAGAAUUGCUGUUUGAUUUGGCAUAAUCAAGGUGAUUAGUGCAAUAAUAUUGCUUCGAAACAAAGUAUAGAAAAUGCUUUAAUUAGAAAUUAGAUUAUUUGCUUUUGGAUGAAAAGACAUUAGAUUCUCUUUUUGUGUUGAUUUAUUGACUAAAUAACCAGCAUUUCUACACACUGUUGAAUCACAGUCUUUUACAUAUUCCAUAAUUUCAAAAUUUUAUGGGCUUGUGUGAAAUCACUCUGUCUUAAGCUGAGCUUUAUUUAUAUUUAUUGGAUUAUUAUUGUUUGAUUAUUUUGAGAAUUAUGAAAUAACAAAUGAGUGUCAGAAGUAUUAGGUUAAGUAAUACUAUGCUACUAAUGUUUUACAAAAUAAUUUAUUUUAUUACAAGAAUUUUACAAAUUAUUAUAUUUUACUAUGUUUCUAUUAAAACAUUAAUUCACUUGUUAGCUGACUGGUAAAAAUUGUUUUUGUGGUGAUUCUUAGUACAAAGUUAUUUUUGCCUCUUUGACAUCAGCGUGAUAUAUGUCAGUAGUAAUUGGAUUAACAGCAGUAAAAAGGAAAAUUGUAAAAUGUUAAUUUUAUAAAAUUAUAAUAAUAAAAUGUCAGUAGUAGUUCUUAAAGUGGUCAUGUGAUGAUAACCCUUAUUUAUUUUAUUUACUAAUGUAUUAGGUACAAGGGUCAGCUGAAUCAAAGUCGUGAUCAUUAAAUCUCUAUCAUGAAAUCUUUACUAAUAAUAAUAAGAGAAAAAGUGAAAGUAGGAAGAUGUUAAUGAUAAUGGCAAUAAUUGCUUCUAUAAAGCAGCCAUGCAAGGAGUGUAGACGAGGAGCUGUAUUUAUUGAAAGUUGAAAGUAUAAACGUGGCAAAAGCACAAUCAUCAUAAUGUUAGAACCAGAGACCCUCCUACAGUUUGUUUCAUUCUGUCUAUUUCUUCCACUACAUUCCCCCAUAAAACUCUGAAACCCUAAUUGUUCUUUACUUUCUUGUUCAAUUUUAGAUCGCUCUUAAUCUGUCUUUUUGAUUUAUGCAUAAAAUAAUAAUUGGCUAAAGCUUUUUCUUUUUCUUUUUCUUUAUUUUUAGGUAAACACUUACCACACUACUUUUAUAAUAUAGUUAAAAAAAAAUAAUAGUUGAAACAAAACAUUAAUGUUCAAGAUACGAUUAUACAAUCAUCAAGAUUUCUAUGUAGUUAUAAAUUUAAUUAUAUUUUCACAAAAUUUCAAGAUUUACAUCUAUGCCGAUAAUUGUCAUGCCACAACAUUAAUCUUAGAGAUGGCAUAAUCGUAACUUGUGAUGGAAAAUUCAGUUUUCGGUUCGUUUUUACUUAAAAACUGAAUUUGUUUGGAUUGGAAAGUUCAAACCAAACUUAAUUUGUAAACCAAACCAAUAAAAUCAUUGAAAUACCAAACCAAAAUAAUAAGUGGCUUAUCCAUAAAUUACAUGUAGAUGGGAUUGAGCUAAAGCAUAUUUUUUAGUUAAAACACUUACCAUACCUACUGUUAUUAAUUUUGUUAAAAGAAAUAAUCGUUCAAAUUAAAUCUCUAUUUGUAAUCCUUAAAAUAUAAUUAUGCAGUCAUCAAGAUUUUUACCAAGUUAUGAGUUUAAUUCAAUUUUCUUUCCCAAAUCAAAGUUUAUAAAAUGGUUAUGAAAUUAAUUUACCAAUGACAAUUGAAUGGACUACGGAGAAGCCAUUUUUUACACGCGCUAAAAAGAGAAUGGUUGCGUAUUAAAUGAAUCAUUUAUUCCCCCAUAAGACUUUGACAAACUGACUGACAAAUAAAACUUUUCAAAAAAUGUUUUCAAAGAAAUUAUUUAUGUCAAGUUGUAACCGGCAGUGGCCUUACUUCAUUUGAUUUGAUUUGAUUUGAUUUGAUUUGCCAUCUCUUUUCAAAUUUUGUUUUGUCAAGAGUAACUCCAUAUAUUUCUUCUUUCCGCUUGGCCCGUUUUUCUUUCACUUCUUGCGUAAACUUUGUUUGGCUUCCCGGAAAAACUUUCCUUUCCCUUUCUCUCUUUUUUCUCUGACUGCUAGGGUUCUAGGGCUAUGUUGCAAAGCCAGCUAAUAAUAAUAUAAGAUAUGGAUCUGACAGAUUGACAUCUUAAUAAUUUUCAUUGGUAACAGUUACUGCAAUUAAUUUUUGUUGGUUGCCCGUUGAAAUUCAAUCCUGCUAAUUAAACUUCUCCAAUUUGAUUUGAUUGAUGACAUUAUUUGAUGCUUAUGGGCUCUUUUUGUAAAGGGAAAAAAGGACCUCAAUUUUCAACGAUGAACAAUUAGACACUCAUUAAUUUAGAAAUAGAUACAUAGUUAAAGUUUUAUUAAAUUCUGAUGGGGAUAAACGUACUAUAUAAUAAAUUAUUUUAUUUAGACAUUAUAGUAUAGUAAUUUUAAUAAGAUUGGUGUUCUUUAUCUCUAUUUUUUAUAAAAAAAAAUCUGGCUAUUCAUUUCUCAAUAUAAUUUGGCAGUUUGCAUUGUAUAGGAGAUUAUGCAAAACGUUAAACCCACGGACAAACACACAGAAAAUGCAUUAAAAAGCUCACAUCAAGCCAGUUCACUUGAAGUUGUAACUAGUUACGGACAUUUAGCUACAAAUUGAUCAAUGUUAAAUUGGAGCUAAACAACGGUAACUAAUUCUAAAUGCACAUUUCAAGAAGUGUGGACAUCCAUAACUUAAAUUUUCAUUCACUUGAAUAAUAAUAAUAAUAAUAGACCGCUAGACUGAAAAUUUUAGAUUGAUAGGUAAAUGCAUAAAAAUAAUAUUAAGGAUAAGUUUUAAUAACCACCUCACGUGAAAUGCAGAAGAUUCAAUUCUAAAUUUAAUCGAUAAAGAGAGACAAAGUUUUUACAUGAAAGGAAUCAAACACAAGACUUUAGCUCUAACAAGCUGACCCAAUGUUACAAAGAGAAAAGAAAACUUGUAUUUCAAUGUGAAUAAUGCUUGAAAUCUCAACAUUCAAGUUUUAACUUGAGUCUCAAUGUUAUAUGUCACUUUUUUUAUUAGAUGAUGAAUGUAAAAUUACUGAUUACUUUAUUUAUAUUAACCAAGAGAUGAAUGCCACAUAAGGUAAGACUGAAAUUAUGACUCAAAUAUUGAGAUAUCUAGUAUUGCUUUUUUACUCUAUUUAAAAAAUACUCGGAGUGGUUAUAUCAAAGAUAAUUAAAUAAGAAAGCUAAAUAUACUAAUAUUAAAUAAAAAUAUUAGUGAUCAUAAUCAAUAGGUAUUGAAGAAUCAUGGAGAUUUGAUUUGAAAGAUUAUUACCUUUAACAAUUAAUUUAUAAUUAUUUUGGCAAUAAUUUCAUUUCAUUUCAUUUGUUACUCUUUAAUAUGAACACGCUAACCCAAUUAUGAAAAACCUUAUCUAAGUGAUAAAGGCAAAAAAUUAAAGAAAAAAGUUAUUCCAUCUCCUUUAUCGUUGGUUUUAACACCACCCUCACUUUUUUUUUUUCCCUUUCCUCUCUCUCUCUCUCUCUCUCUCUCUCUCUCUCUCUCUUUUUUUUUAUGAAAUCACUUUCUUCUCUCAUACGAGAAAUUAAUUGCUUUUCUCUUCAUGGAUUUUAACAACACGUCCUUUUUUUAUCUUUCUCUUUUGCCUCCUAAAGAGAAGUUAUAAGGCAACCCAUCACAAAAGGCUCUGGCUUUUGCCCUAUAUACAAACUCAACCAAAGUUAGAAGAACUAGCUAACUUCCCUUUUUUGGUUUUGAUUAAUCAUCUAAAUUACCAUAAGCUAUUCCACUACCACUGUUAUUGUUUAAUUUAGCAAAACUUUCUUCGCGUGAGAUUAAAUUUUAAUUGAACACAAAUUAAUUUCCCAUUCAUGAGUGUCGUUUUAGCAAGGAAUAAUUAUUCAAAGCAAAAGGCAAAAGUAUGUCAUUAUAGUACAAGUCAAAGCUUUUGGGUCAUAUUAGAUUUGUGGACAUAAAUAAAUAAAUAGCUUUACUAUAAUUUUGCAUUUACUAUGCAUGCAUAUUUAUAUAUUUAGAGAAGUUGCUAGCCUGUCUUGUAAGUUUGUUAGUAUUAGGAUUCUGAAAAGUUGGAGGCCAUAUAUAGAAGGUUAAUUUCAUUUUACUUGAUUGAGUAGUCAAUAUUGUUGGUAAUAUUUACUAUUUUUACUUUGUUCUUUUUGUGAGCUUCUUUCAUUAUCAAUCUGCAGGAGACAAGCUGUGAUUGAUGAAUGAUGACAACAACUUAUUGUUAGACCUAUUAGUUCUAAAUAUUGGCAAUUAAUUGAUAUUAAGGCUGCAUAAUUAGUGCAGAAAACGGUUUAAUAUGGAUUUGAUUCUAUUUAGAUUAUAAGUUAGUGUGAAUCAAAAUAUAAACGGUUGGACAAUAGUUUACAACUAAAUAUUAAUCAUACACUAUGUACAUGUAGAAUAAGAUUUCUAAAUAGUUUUGUGUAUUGAUUCAAAAAAAUUUUAAUCUUGAGUGAUAAUAUGUGACAUAUAAAGUUGACACGUGACAUAUAAUGUAUUAUUCAAUGAUAUAAUAAUUAUUUUAUUUAUAAUUCAACAAAAAAGUAACAGCUAGCUACUAAUUGAUAAGUGACAACGUAUAAAUUGUGAUACAAAAUUUAUAUCUCAACUUUAUAUCUAUGGUAUUGUUUAGAUAAAUGUUUUCUAUCGGGAAAAAUUUAUCCUAUUAGAUGAAAAAAUCUUACUAGAAUUCAAAAUUUUAGUAAAAACUAAUCCCACCACACAAAAAGAACACUUCAUUUUUCUUGUUUUCCUUUAUUAUUCUCUAGACUUCUCCUUAACUUUUUUCUGAACCAUUCGUUUAGAAUAAAUUUUCUGCGCAUCGAUGAAAUGCUGUGGGGUUCUUGAAAUUUCCCAACUAGUUCACAUUAAUUUCCACUGAAUUAUGCCAAUAAUUGAGUAACAUUCUUAUGCAAUUCAAAUUUGGACGCAACACAAAGUCGUUUUCUAAGUUGAAAAAUUAAAAAAAAAAUGAAAUCAGAUGAGAAUUAGGACGCUAGCUGCUAUGUUUGAGUCCCCGCAUUAAUAUUCAUGAAUAAGAUGUGUCAGGCUCUUAUUAUUAAUAUUAAUUUUAUACUGAAUUUUAUUGUUAUAAUUUGUAUGUACCAUUGGGACCAUUUACAGCUAGUUGAUCAUUUACAGUGAAUUAAAAGCGGGUAGUAGCUAGAAUGGAAUUUGACAUCAAGCAUGUAAUAAUAUUUAUGAUACAAGUGCUUUUGUCUUCAUGUGGCAGAAGCAAAACAGCAUAAGCUAAUCUUCUAGAAAAUCUACUUUAAAAAUUUUUUAAAAUUCCUCAGCAUUAAUUGGCAACUGUUACAUGAAAUUUAAUUUCUUUUCAUUAAAUCCAUUCCACAAUACCUUGUUUCCUAUAAACCAAAUCUCCAACACAUAUUUAAAGGAAAAACAGAAGGAAAGCUCUACCAAACGCCUUCGAGAAUAAAUCAAUUCAUUGUACAUAUGAUAAAUUGUUGGAAAAAGUUUGGUGGCUUAGUACAAGAUUAUAAUUCAAACUUGCUCUAAUAUCAUAUUAUAAUCAUCUUUUAAUCUAAGAAAAAAAAAGCAAUGAAUAUUGAAAAUACAGUUUUGAAAUCAUGGCAUGGGUUAUUUCCAAGAACAUUCAUGAAAACUCAAGAGGAAUAAUUUCAAACUUGCUCUAUUAUCAUAACAUAUCUAAUGAACUUCUGGGAUAUAAAUGACUAUUUCUAAUUUGAAAGUACGUUUCCACUAAAUUUAAACUAAAGAAUCUACUUGCAUUUUGUUGAACUCUCAAUAUAAUGCUAGGAUUUCAAAAUUAAAACAGAAAGUUUUAAGGUAUAAAAUUAUCGCAUUAAUGAUAGUAUAAAAAUAUCCAUAGUUACUUAACACGUGGCAUUUUUUAAUUGAUGCUACAGCAUUUAAGGUAUAAAAUUUGUAGUCCAAUUAUGUGCAUCUGGUUUACUCAGAUCUCAAAUACUAAAUUUAAUGUUAUGGAUUAAGGCUAGUAUAUGUAUACUUUUUUUUCUCCAUUUUCUCAAUAUAACAUAAUUUUAAAAUAAAUUCUUCUCUCAGUUUUAGUGUGAAUAGAUACGGAUCUCAUAUCUCUUAUAUCACCACCAAAAAAUUUUAUCAACGAAACCCUUUGUGCUGAAAUGAGUAUAUAUGUUUACUUUAGCUAGUGACUGUAUGUAUAAAGAGUUGCGUAAUAUCAAAUAUUUCAAAUUAUAGUGCUUGAUAGUUAUUAGUUUUUCUGGCUGUAUUAAUUUAUGAAUUUAAAUUGACAAAUGUCUCCACAUUAUAGUAAUCAAAUUACUGUGCAGUUAUUUUUAGGAAUUGUCUAGUUGGUUUGGUCCUUUCAGUGAAAAAGAGAGAUUAAGAGAUUAGUUUCUCGUGACACGAAUAUUGAAGUGUAAAAUUCUUUGAUUCGUAUUUGUGAAGUAAAGGGAUCAAUUCUCCAUAGCAACAAUGUUGAAAGGGAAAAUAUUGUAAUUUGUAUUUGUGCAUAGAGUGGAACAUAAAUGGGGUGUCUGAAUAUAUUGAUUUACAGACAGAAUAAUAUUUCAGCACUUUUCCACUAGUAUAAAAACUUUCUUCAUCUCAAGUAGGUAGCUUUCAGGUAAUAAAAUGAAAAAAAAAUUGAGAUAUUUGGAAAGUGUAGUAAGUAUUGCUAUGAGAGAAAAAGGUAUAAAAGAAUUUCACUUUUCAAUAUCUCAUCUUUCUUUUUGUAUUUUUUUCAAAUUUCCCAUGCAUUCAUGCAAGCCUUUAUUUUCAAGUUCUUUCUUUUGGUUCAAUAUUCUCUUUUUCUUUGUAUAUAAAGCAUAAAGCCACAACAAAAUAAACCUUGAGAAAAUAAAAAAUGAUAAAAGAUAUUCUAUAAAUAUUGCAAAGUGCUCCAUUACAAUUACCAAGGAUCACUUGAUGAUACUUUCAAAGAUAGUUAAAGGUCACUCUCUACCUAAAGUUCUCUCCUCCUUCAUACCCCUCAUGAGUAGUGGUGCAAAACAUACAAAAUCAAUUAAAUUUCGUAUUUACGUAGGAAUAUAACAUAUAUAUAUUUAAUAUAUAAAAAUUUUUGUUUGGAUUUGAAUCUCAAAGCUUCAAAUUAAGAACCAGGGACAUCAUGCGCUUUCUUUCUUCCUUUCCCCCNNNNN
rnacentral:lncRNA from 1 species